rnacentral:rRNA from 1 species
GACGAGGGAUGCAAGCGUUAUCCGGAUUCAUUGGGUUUAAAGGGAGCGUAGGUGGCCUUAUAAGUCAGUGGUGAAAUCUCUGGGCUUAACCCAGAAAUUGCCAUUGAUACUGUAGGGCUUGAGUAUAGUUGCCGUUGGCGGAAUAUGACAUGUAGUGGUGAAAUACAUAGAGAUGUCAUAGAACACCGAUUGCGAAGGCAGCUGACGAAACUAUAACUGACACUGAGGCUCGAAAGUGUGGGGAUCAAACAGG